GACGAACGCUGGCGGCGUGCUUAACACAUGCAAGUCGAACGAAGCUUGAUUACGGAUUCUUCGGAUGAAGUAUGAUAUGACUGAGUGGCGGACGGGUGAGUAACGCGUGAGUAACCUGCCCUUCAGAGGGGGAUAGCGUUUGGAAACGAACGGUAAUACCGCAUAAUGUAUUUUGACCGCAUGAUCGAAAUACCAAAGAUUUAUCGCUGAAGGAUGGACUCGCGUCUGAUUAGGUAGUUGGUGGGGUAACGGCCUACCAAGCCGACGAUCAGUAGCCGGACUGAGAGGUUGAUCGGCCACAUUGGGACUGAGACACGGCCCAGACUCCUACGGGAGGCAGCAGUGGGGAAUAUUGCACAAUGGGCGCAAGCCUGAUGCAGCAACGCCGCGUGAAGGAAGACGGUUUUCGGAUUGUAAACUUCUGUUCUUAGUGAAGAAUAAUGACGGUAGCUAAGGAGCAAGCCACGGCUAACUACGUGCCAGCAGCCGCGGUAAUACGUAGGUGGCAAGCGUUGUCCGGAAUUACUGGGUGUAAAGGGAGCGCAGGCGGGUGAUCAAGUCAGCUGUGAAAACUACGGGCUUAACCCGUAGACUGCAGUUGAAACUGUUCAUCUUGAGUGAAGUAGAGGUUGGCGGAAUUCCGAGUGUAGCGGUGAAAUGCGUAGAUAUUCGGAGGAACACCGGUGGCGAAGGCGGCCAACUGGGCUUUAACCGACGCUGAGGCUCGAAAGUCGGGGGAGCAAACAGGAUUAGAUACCCUGGUAGUCCACACCG
rnacentral:rRNA from 1 species